GAAAUGCGAUACUUGGUGUGAAUUGCAGAAUCCCGCGAACCAUCGAGUCUUUGAACGCAAGUUGCGCCCGAAGCCAUUAGGUUGAGGGCACAUCUACCUGGGCAUCUCACGUUGUGUUGCCCGUACCCCCUUCCCCCGAAGGGAAGGGUUGCGGGCGAAUGUUGGCCCCCUGCAUGCACCCGCGCACUGUUAGUCUAAAAAGAAGUCCCCCGUGACAGACGACGCGUCACGACGAUUGGUGGUUAACAAACUAUUGUGUCGCCUUGUGCGCGUCCGAGUCAUCGCGGGAGGUCUGUUAUGACCCUAUAGCGCCGCUGCCAAGGAGCUCCGAUCGCGACCCUAGGUCAAGCAGGAUUACCCGCUGAGUUUAA
rnacentral:misc_RNA from 1 species